rnacentral:lncRNA from 1 species
ACAAUUGAGAAAAACUGAAACCAUUAUCCCUGCAUGUAAUAUGAAAACAAAAAGAUGUGGUAUAAAUGCCAAUGAGAUGGCCACAGACCACAAUUAAUUCCUCUAUUAGAGUGGGGUGCUCAUUUUCGCCAUAUCUUUCCAUGUUUUCUACAGUUUAUGUUCAGGUCUAUAUGUUUUUGAAGUAUACUGAAAUUUCUAUAUGAAAAUAACUUCAAAUGCAAAAUAUUCUUAAGCUUGAUAACGUGUUUAUUUGAAAAUAAUCAUCUGAAAAGUUAGAUUUAAGGGUGUUUGCAAUUGCCUGAUGUUUUGUCAAUGGGGGACACAUAUUCGCCGUUUUAUAUUAUCUGUUUAAACCAAAUAAUUGCAGCUUUAAACAUAUUUUCAAAUCAACUUCAUUAUAGAUGGCAAGAGCAGAUAUUUUAAAGGUGUACAGAACUGAAAUUUAGGGCAAUCAGUAAAAAAUUAACUAAGAAAUACUUCUUUGAAAUCGUGUUUUCAUUCAGGAAAUUGGCCGAAAAUCGUUGUCCGUUUUUCGGUCCUUUGCGGUAAGUGCCGCAAUUUUGUCGUAGUUUGAAAAAUAACCAUAUUUGUUAUAAAAAUCUAAGUCACCGGCAUUUUUCUUCCAUUUCAGCCAUCUUUUGAAGUUUUUACACCUCAAAAUAGUAAAACGGCGAAAUUGUGUCCCCGGCGAAUAUGCGCACCCCACUCUA